AUGGAGACCUGUAUGAAUGGCAUAACGAGGGCUUAGCUGUCUCCUUUUUCAAGUCAAUGAAAUUGAUCUCCCCGUGCAGAAGCGGGGAUACUUACAUAAGACGAGAAGACCCUAUGGAGCUUUAGACACCAAGACAGACCAUGUUAAACACCCCAAAACAAAGGGCCAAACCAAAUGGCCCCUGCCCUAAUGUC
rnacentral:rRNA from 1 species